GGGCCGUUAGCUCAGUUGGUAGAGCGCUACAUUCGCAUUGUAGAGGUCGUGGGUUCGAUUCCCACACGGUCCACCA
rnacentral:tRNA from 1 species